AGGACGAACGCUGGCGGCGUGCUUAACACAUGCAAGUCGAGGGCACUUUGGGGGCAACUCUGGAGUGACCGGCGAACGGGUGCGUAACACGUGAGCGACCUUGCCUCGUGGUGGGGGAUAGCCGGCCCGAACGGCCGGGUAAUACCGCAUAGGGUGGUCUUUUCGCAUGGAGAGACUAGCAAAGCCCUGGAGCAAUCCAGUGGCGCCACAGGGGGGGCUCGCGGCCUAUCAGCUAGUUGGGGGGGUAAUGGCCCACCAAGGCGACGACGGGUAGC
rnacentral:rRNA from 1 species